UUGCCGCUUCCUGUUUGGACUAGGAGCCCCGCGGUCGCAAAUUGCGAGAAUUUGGGAAGGGAGUCUUUAUCUUCUCGUCUAGUUCUCCGAGGUUGAAGGCUCGGCCUGCUCAGAGAAGGAAACUGAGGUCCACCGAGUUGGGAGAAACCCAGUCAACACCAGAGUUUCCUGAAUAAGUUUUUCCCAAGUUCUGUGUUAUUCUUUUUGAUGACAGGAUACUGGCUUCCCUACAGUCAUCUUUUCAAUUUCUAAAAUGUUUAAUUUUUUAAAUUGAGGCUGGACUGCAGUGGUGUGAUCAUAGCUCACUGAGACCUCAAACCCUCUUGCUCCAACUGUCUUCCCACCUCAGCCUCCUGAGUAGCUGGGACUAUAGUAGGACUAAGUUAAUGAGAGCUUUGACUUGCUUAAAUGUUGGGCAGGAAAGCAGAAGAGAAAAGGGAAGUGGAAAUCAAAACAACAGAGAAAAGAAAAUGCACAUAUUUGGGAAACAGACUGUGUUACCAACAUCUGUGUCACAUAAUAAUCAGUGGACUAACUUCUUCAGUGCUUAGAGUGUGAGAAAA
rnacentral:sRNA from 1 species